GUAUAUUUACAGGGAAUGGGGACUGCCUCCUCGUGUGUUCACCCCCCAUGUGCCCCUCUCUCUACCAGACACCUCAGACUGCUUGUGUUCUCCUCCCCCCAUGUACCCCAUCCUGCACUUAUUCCCCCUUCCUAGGGGGUCUCUAUUAUUGGUUUUCUGAAGCCUCACAGGCCUCCCCACCUAGCUUUUUAUUCAAGCCAUGCACAUGUGAAUGCAUGUAUUGCCUCCUGUUCUUAUCUUCCAUCAGGGUUAACCUUUU